GGAAUAUGUUGAAAUUUCUAUAGCCCUUGCUUGUUGUUUCUUUAUGUAUAGAUAACAACAUCUAACAGAAACAAAUAAUACAACACAUAUAAUAAGCAAAGCAAUUAACACAUCUAUCUAACAACUACAAAGCCAAUUACUGUUUGAGAAAAGAAUUGUUAUCCCAACAGUUUGUGAUGCUUAACUACUCCAUGACUCAAAAUUCUAUCAAUAAUUACUAUAAGAAUUUUUUGAGACUGCUGAUCAGGAAUCCUCAGAGGAAUAUAUGCCAAAAUGACCAUAUUGUCCUUUUUAAUUCUCUAAUCCUUCUUUGAUGUACCUGAAAGAAAGUGAGCAAACCAAAAUGAAUGAAANAAGUGAGCAAACCAAACCAUGAAUGAAAGGGCAUUUUGGUCAUUUGAUCAACACUCAACUCAAGACAUUUUUAAUGAAUCCAUUAGUGGCAUCACACUAGGAAAACUUUGCAUCUCCAUCAAAGCCAAAACGCUUCCUUGUCCUUCGUGAACAGUUGUAGUUCCUUUGUAUUUGUAUUUCUGCUCUUGUUUUUCUGUUGCGAAAACAGAAAUCAAAUCUCUUACCUUUAAAUUUGAACCGCUACCUGUGUUUGUCUAUUGCAAAAACAGAAAUCAAAGCUCUUACCCUUUAAAUUUGAACCGCAGGUCCAGUGGUGGGAUUUUCAGGUUGGUUGAAUUAUUGGAGGUGCCAGGCGAGGCGAGGUUGGCCGAUGAUGAUGAUGUUGCGACAGGGGAGAUGGAGAUGAAGGACCGAUUAGUGUGGGAGGAGGAAGUUAAGUAUGUGAGGAGGAGGAGGCGUAUUCAAUUUAGGUAUUAGUCGUACUUAAUCAAAAUGGGGGCGUAUUUUUAGUUAUUUGAUUUUGUUUCUAGUAAAUCUCAUUAACCAUAUUAAAUGCUGCAGUUAACCGUAUUAGAUGCUGCAAUUGUAUGUAUUAUAUUUAUUUAUCCC
rnacentral:lncRNA from 1 species